UACGAAGGGGGCUAGCGUUGCUCGGAAUCACUGGGCGUAAAGCGCACGUAGGCGGACUCUUAAGUCGGAGGUGAAAUCCUGGAGCUCAACUCCAGAACUGCCUUCGAUACUGAAGAGCUCGAGGUCCGGGAGAGGUGAGUGGAACUGCGAGUGUAGAGGUGAAAUUCGUAGAUAUUCGCAAGAACACCAGUGGCGAAGGCGACUUACUGGACACAUAUUGACGCUGAGGUGGACGAAAGCGGUGGGGAGCAAACAGG
rnacentral:rRNA from 1 species